AAUCAACGCUGGCGGCGUGCCUCAGACAUGCAAGUCGAAUGAUUAAAGCUCUCUUCGGAGAGUGCAUAGAGUGGCGCACGGGUGAGUAACACGUAAGUAAUCUACCUUCGAGUGGGGAAUAACGUCCGGAAACGGACGCUAAUACCGCAUAAUGCAGCGGCAUCGUAAGAUGACAGUUGUUAAAGAUUUAUCGCUUGAAGAGGAGCUUGCGGCAGAUUAGCUAGUUGGUAAGGUAAUGGCUUACCAAGGCUACGAUCUGUAACCGGUCUUAGAGGACGGUCGGUCACACUGACACUGAAUAACGGGUCAGACUCCUACGGGAGGCAGCAGUCGGGAAUUUUGGGCAAUGGGCGAAAGCCUGACCCAGCAACGCCGCGUGAAGGAUGAAGUAUUUCGGUAUGUAAACUUCGAAAGAAUAGGAAGAAUAAAUGACGGUACUAUUUAUAAGGUCCGGCUAACUACGUGCCAGCAGCCGCGGUAAU
rnacentral:rRNA from 1 species